CAGCAGCCGCGGUAAUUCCAGCUCCAAUAGCGUAUAUUAAAGUUGUUGCAGUUAAAAAGCUCGUAGUUGAACCUUGGGCCUGGCUGGCCGGUCCGCCUUACCGCGUGUACUGGUCCGGCCGGGCCUUUCCUUCUGGGGAGCCGCAUGCCCUUCGCUGGGCGUGCCGGGGAACCAGGACUUUUACUUUGAAAAAAUUAGAGUGUUCAAAGCAGGCCUUUGCUCGAAUACAUUAGCAUGGAAUAAUGGAAUAGGACGUGCGGUCCUAUUUUGUUGGUUUCUAGGACCGCCGUAAUGAUUGAUAGGGACAGUCGGGGGCAUCCGUAUUCAAUUGUCAGAGGUGAAAUUCUUGGAUCUAUUGAAGACGAACUACUGCGAAAGCAUUUGCCAAGGAUGUUUUCAUUAAUCAGUCGAACGAAAGUUAGGGGAUCGAAGACGAUCAGAUACCGUCGUAGUCUUAACCAUAAACUAUGCCGACUAGGGAUCGGUGGAUGUUUCUAUUUUGACUCCAUCGGCACCUUACGAGAAAUCAAAGUUUUUGGGUUCUGGGGGGAGUAUGGUCGCAA
rnacentral:rRNA from 1 species